UACGGAGGAUCCGAGCGUUAUCCGGAUUUAUUGGGUUUAAAGGGUGCGUAGGCGGGCUUUUAAGUCAGCUGUGAAAGUUUACGGCUCAACCGUGAAAUUGCAGUUGAUACUGGGAGUCUUGAGUAUAUUAGAGGUUAGCGGAAUUCGUGGUGUAGCGGUGAAAUGCUUAGAUAUCACGAGGAACUCCAAUUGCGAAGGCAGCUGACUAUGCUAUCACUGACGCUGAUGCACGAAAGUGUGGGUAUCAAACAGG
rnacentral:rRNA from 1 species